ACGGAGGAUGCGAGCGUUAUCCGGAAUCACUGGGUUUAAAGGGUGCGUAGGCGGGUUAAUAAGUCAGAGGUGAAAGCUGGUCGCUUAACGAUCAAAUUGCCUUUGAUACUGUUAGUCUUGAAAUAUGGUGAGGUUGGCGGAAUGUGACAUGUAGCGGUGAAAUGCAUAGAUAUGUCAUAGAACACCAAUUGCGAAGGCAGCUGACUGGCCAUUAUUUGACGCUGAGGCACGAAAGCGUGGGGAGCGAACAG
rnacentral:rRNA from 1 species